AGAAUCAACGCUGGCGGCGUGCCUAACACAUGCAAGUCGAACGCGAAAGGGGAGCAAUCCCUGAGUAGAGUGGCAAACGGGUGAGUAACACGUGGGUGACCUGCCUCAGAGUGGGGGAUAACGUCCCGAAAGGGACGCUAAUACCGCAUAACAUCCUGCCUUUGGAAAGGCGGAGAUCAAAGCCGGGAUCGCAAGACCUGGCGCUUGGAGAGGGGCCCGCGUCUGAUUAGCUAGUUGGUAGGUAAUGGCCUACAAGGCAACGAUCAGUA
rnacentral:rRNA from 1 species